CCUUCCGUAUGGCGUACACUAACGACAGACCCCCCGGAAGUGGGGACACGGCUCUGUGACUCUGGAGCUGCUUCGAUAGUAAAGCAAGCGGGUAGACACCAUACGACAGGUUUCCAGUUAUUGAAAUGUCACUCUUGUGUAGCAGUUUGUGUCAAGAAAACUGAGCACGUACGUAGCUACCAGCCUCGCAUGGAAGCACGGGCAUGGUGGCUCUAUCCGAGCCUCUGAGAGCGAGCGCCCUGGGCGCUACGUUAGCAUCGGUUCUUGAGUCCCGAUCCCGGGCCCCGUGCACAUUUGGCUAGCCUUUCCUGCUAGCCGGUCCCAUUUGAUUAGCUGUGCGCCUGUCACCACGCCUCGGCUUCCUUCGCGGCCCGUGAUGACGAAGCUUGCCAAAGCAGUUCACAGUGAGCAAGAGACUGUUAGAAGGUGAAGAUCGGGUGUUCAGAACUCCUGCUGUAAAAACUGGAUUCUGAGUUUCCGCUGUUUUAGAACAGAACAGGGCAUCGGCCCUGGCCCUGCGAUCGCUUGCAGAGGAAGCUUUGACUUGGCCAUGGCUGCGAGCCUGCUAUCUUAUCCGCUGAGAAGCGUGCCUCACUUGUCUAAUGGUAUCAGUAUAAGCCAUCAAAAACACCAGGCUGCUGGGCAGAAUUUUUUUUAAGAAUCAAAAUGUAGGAAACCUUUUUAAGGCUAGAAGAAAACAUGACAAUUCUGUUUAAUUUUAGGGGUAAGUACACUCCUCUCCCUCAACAACCGACAAAACAUCCAAGUAGAAAAUAACUACCAGGUAUAAAGAUUGGCCUGGCUGCGUAUUUCUUCUCCGUUCUAGGGGCAGAGGGAUAAACAACACUAAGCGCUUUUUCAGUAGGCGUGGCACUGUUCCAGCCAGAAAGCAGCGCUGUCACUUCACAGCCAGAGGCAGGAGGAAAGGAAGCAGGCCAGCAGCUGAGCAGGAGGAAAGGAAGCAGGCCAGCAGCUGAGCCGUCACGUAGCAGGGAGGCCCCGGUUGCACAACCCAUGAGUUUGAUGGUCACCAUUUUUAUUUUUUUACCAUGAUUUCCAAUUUCUUAAUGAUUUCCAUUUUGACAUGACUCUUUCAUAACUAGACUAUGACCAGUCUAGUUCACACAUAUAUGCCUCUCGUGAGUCUCCCUCGUUGUGCCAGUGUCCUUAGCAAGCUCUCUCUCUGCCCCCCAGUCUCCUGCUUGCACACCCCAGACCCGGUGCACAGCUAUCAAAGGGGAACAGCAUGGGCACCCUAUUAAGGAGAUGUGUACUGUCAGCGCUUUGGUUGACUUUUCUAAUGACUCAUAAGAAAAUAAUGUGGAUAAAAUUACACGUUCAAAGUUCGAUUUUAUUUCAAAAUGAUAAAUAAACCGGCAUAGUUCUGACUCUGUACUAUUUCAGAAAGGCUUGUGAAGUUCAUUAACAGUUUAGAGAGGGCUCCAGUCAGACCAGAAGGUUGCCAAUCAAACUUGUGAUUGGCAGAGACAGCAGCCUCUUUGAUCUUCAGAGGUUUGUAAAAGCUCUCCACCCUAAUUUCUGUGUAUCAUAAAAAGUAAAAAGCACUUUUAUUCUGUCCUUUUCUCCUUUAAUUUUUCUUUUUUAAACCAGCAAAAAAGGACUACUUAUUUUUAUGACUUCAUUUUUAUGAGCACAACAGUUCUGUCAAUUACUUAGAGAAGGAAGCCCUCAAAGAUGUGCCAGUGGUGCUGUGGUCGUCCACCGAGGCCCACACUGACAGGUGCUUGCAUUCCAUGCUAUCAUUUCUACAAUGAGCCAUGAAGAAUGCUUGUAGACCCUAUGUACAGCAGUAUAGUCCACAUGUCCUUGAUGUGCGUCCAUACCACGAUCCAGGAACAACAGAGAGAAUCCCCUCUUGGAAAUCAAAAAGGGGAUGUGUAGGGAAAGAGGGCUAACUCCUCUGGUGAGCAGCACACUAUUUUUAGAGUGCUUUGAAAGAACUAAAAUCCAUGACGCUGUAGUCAUUGAAUUCUGGCCCUCAUAUUUUUCUUUUAAGUUGACUUUCUAUUAAAAUCUUCAAAUCUCUGGAGAUUGGUGGUAUAGUUAGACUAUAUUAAAAUUUUUCUUUUCCUUAUUAACAAUUUCAUUAAAAUUUAAAAAAUUACGAUGCCCCUCAACUGUUACGUUGAAGCCUGAUCUGUGUCACUGUGUCCUGUGCCAUGAACCUAAUUUCCCAAGUGGCCACGGACACCUGAGUGGCAUUUCCAGUGCUGCAGUUCCUUCCCUCAUGAUUCCUGCUGGGUCCUCUUCACUGAGGCUCUCCCCUGAGUCAUAUAUUUACUGGAAAGGCUACCUAGGAGGGAAAACAAAAUCCAACAUAAACGAAAAGAAUGGUGUUUGAGCAAAGUCACACAAUACUUAUUGUCAGUUACUGACAGACACGUGUCCCACCACAAAGGGCACUCGUCCUGAGUCGAGCAGUUAGGCUAGGUAUAAACAAGUGCACAGCCAUCAGAGGCACUGGGCAGUGCUUAGACACUGCUUCCUCAGUGCUGGUAAGGUACAGCCCCGAGGCUGUUCAAUGCAGCCACAGGCAGGCACUGAGGCUGGAAGAAACAUUUUGAAAGUUCUUUACAUAGGAUAUUCUUUUUGUUUGUAGCUCACAGACUGCAAAGAGAUCGCUGGCCAGAAAUUAGUACCUCAUACCAUUACCCUUUAGAAGUCUAGUAAUACCUUAUGGAUGUACAAGGAGAAAAUAAAAUUCUCUGUACUUAAUUAGUAGUGAAGCCAUCCACAGCUUACAACAUGUACUGUGUUCUGGAGUCUGAGCACAUACAAGAGGGAAUGAGAGCCCAUGUGGCUACUACUGUACAAUGAAGGCUCUACUCAAACCAAUGGAAGGAAUGCAAAGGGUUUAGUAACUGGUACCAUGCCAGCUACAGGUUUUAAAAGCAGAAUCUCAUUGUGAGGCCUUGGAUGACUUAAAAUUCAUUAUGUAGCCCAGGCUAGCCUAGAAUUGCUUUUUGCCUGCUUCUGAGUGUGGGGAUUAAAUACUACACCAUGACCACCACACCUGGCUUGCACCCAUAACUUCUGAGGGGGAGAAGGAAGCUAGCUCCCUUCUUAAACUGUCACUCUUGUCAUUUCCAAAUGAAGUGUAGAAUUAAAUGUAAGUAAAAGAAGUCAAAGCGCAGCAGUUGUCCACAUUUUCAGAAGCAUGGACACAACUUUCCCAAAGCAGCAGCUUUAGCAAUGCCCACCACACAAGCUUUCCCUUUAUUUCUUUUCAACCAAAUGGCCUGACAUUUUAAAAUUUAGAGACAGUCUAAAAGAUUGGUAGCUAUCUGCCCCAUUUAUGUAUAUUUAUAUAACUUUAUCACUGACUAGAACUUUAAGGCCUAUUAAAACAACAACAAUAACAACAAAAAUCACACCACUACCAAACCAUUUUCCCGCCAUAUGACUGUGUGUAUGAAAUAGUUUCAUGUUUGUGAAUGCGAAUAUGUGUUUGGACACUGUGUGUGUGUGUGUGUGUGUGUGUGUGUACGCAUGCACAUAUGAUGGAGUCAGGGCUUGGUACUGGAUGGUCCCCCCAUAGUCUCCUCCUUAUACAUGGAGGUGGGUUAGGUAACUAUGCAAGUCUGCUCUGGAGCUCCCUCCCUCCACCCCCUAUGCGAUGGAUUCCUAGCAGGCUGCCAUGUUACCUAACACUUACAUGGAUGCUCCGAUCCAAACUCUGGUCCUCUUUAUACCCACUGAACAUCUCCCCAGCCCCACCAAUGGCCUUUAUGAUAAUUUAAACAAGUACUACUUGCUGAGACAUCAGAGGAAUGCACCUGUUAGCCGAGAUGGCAAAAUCAAAGGUAAGAGCACAGCUGUCCAUCAACAUGUGCUCAUUAAGGAAACUAGAGUGGGUCAGAGACUUAGUCUACAAAGGGGCUCAAGGGAAACUAUUUCUACCUACAACACAGACAUGGGUCACAUGUUAAUAUGUGACAGCUGUCACUAACUUACUUUCUGAGCUAUUUUAUUGGCAAGAACAAAUCUUAGCAAUCUAUAAUUUUUUCUUGUAGAAAGCAGAAUACAGUUUGUAAUAAAAUUUCCCCAUAAUAAAUUUAAGUUAGUAAGUUUUUAGUUGUAGGAUUUUUUUUUUUUUACUGAGAUGAAUAACUAAUAACUUCUUUAUAACUAAGUAUAUGUUAGUUGGCCAUGGCAUUUCUAGGUCUAUAACAUCUACAUUUUUUUCCCCACUUUUUUAAAACUUGAAAAAUUAUAGUAAAACUCAACUUUAAAGAUGUGUAACCUCUUAAGCCCAGCAGUGCUGCUCUCUGCGGACUUGGGGACAGUGUGGGGACCAGGAACCUUCUCUGCACUCACGCAGCUGCUCAAGUGUUUGCACGCAGCUCCUCAGCAGUCAGCUCAGAGCCGAGAGAGCGGAGGUGUGUGCAGGGCAAGGGGCGCCCCCAACACAUGGAGUGGAAACCAGAAACAUGCAAUAAACUGCUCACACUCUGUGUUCCUUCAUGUGCCUAACAUCAGGAACAUCAGUACUUUUCCUGUGUGAAAUGUUUUGGGAAUAUCUGCUUAAGGUCAAAGUUGCUUAAAACAGCAUUCUUUUAGUCUGAUUAUACAUGUACAUCUUAGAUCUUCAAACUCCCAGAUCUACAGGGAAAAUGAAGCCACUGACUGGUGCUGUCUGUGGCUCACACCCUUCCAGAAAGCUAGGGUCAUUUGAAAGUCAGUGUGGUUAUGUGAUAUAGCCCACCUCUCUUCCCCAACCUCGAUCAGCUUAACUGUGGGGCACCAUUCCCCUUUCACUCUGUCUACUGGGCUUGGAGGGUAUCCAACAGCACUCUGAUUGUGAAAUGGUGUGCUCCAUGGAGAACAGCUAUGACUCUUCC
rnacentral:lncRNA from 1 species